rnacentral:pre_miRNA from 1 species
CGGAGCUGUUUCAUUUUCAAUGAGUUUGUUUCUAGUGUCGCAUUGACUCUUUAGGCUGUGACUAGAUCCACACUCAUUAAAAAUGGCAGCCA